CACCGUUUAUCAUAACUGCUUCAAACUUGCACAAAUUACAGCUCUACCCCUGCUGAACAUUACUUGUGAAGGACUUUGUCAUAACUUGAACGGUUUGGAUUUUAGAAGCGUUAGAAGGUGCAGGACACAACUCCUCAUGAUGAUCUCUGGAAGAAAAGAUGAGGACCAACACACUGUAAACUUGUGAUUAAGGUGACAUUUUUCAGUCCAUAGACAUACAAGCUUUAUAUGUUUGCGUUCAGAACAAAUUUAUCUAUCUGGUGAUGUUUUCAGAUUGAAGAUGGGACCCACGGUUUGGCAUCUGGAAGCAUUUGUUUGAGAAAGUUUCAAGCCAUUCUGCUCUGUGUCUGAGCUGCAUGCAGUCCUUAAUUAGCAUAACAAAGGCUUCACUCUGACAGUCUGUGUGUCAGAGUGAAGUGUGUAUGUGUGGG